CUGAUUUCACCAACCUCUUCCGUUUUAUCAGCUUUUAUAAAAGCUGAUUCAAUAACGCGUUCAUUUAGGAUGACUGACAGACCCUGCUCGUGGGUGAGGGCAGGGAGCAGCAUUGUGCAAUUAUGAUGUGUGCAACCAGUUGUGGACCUGUUGCCUAGUGUGCCAAGAGGGAUAUGACUGCAUCUUACUAGCGAGAACCACAGAAGGCCAAAACAUACUGUUGGGUUGAUUAUGUCUCUAGUUUAGACGAGGGCUGCCUGGUAUUUCAGGACUAGGCUAUAUUUUUUUGUUUUUUAGGCAGGACCAGACUGAUAAAGUACAGGAAAUCUCUUCUCUGUGUAAGACACAUAUUGGGCUAAAAUAAGCUGCUCCUAUGUUUGUGACUAGUCACAGAAUAAACUAUUAUUUUUUGCUUC